rnacentral:lncRNA from 1 species
AGCAAGCAAUUUAAUUUAUGAAUUUAAUUUACCGCACAUUUAAUUUUAUUUAAGGUAUGGUGCGGGAUUAACGUCCAUACAGCAAGCAAUUUAAUUUAUGAAUUUAUUUUACCGCACAUUUACAUUUAUUUAAAGUAUGGUGCGGGUUUAUCGUCCAUACCAGUAAUUUAUUUACCAGCAAUUUAUUUUAUGGAUUAAUUGUGCUGUAUGAUGAGUUUUUACAGUAUGCAGAUCAAGACCAGAAGUUCCUUGAUCCUCAUCAUACAAUUACAUCAGGACUUGAAGAUCCUUGAUGAUGAUAUUAAUAUGAGAGCUGGCAGUCUCUCCGGUACUGUAUUUGUAAACAUGUGAUUGGACUUAAGGGUCCUUGAUCCCUGACAUGUAAAUAAGGACCUAGAGUUCCUUAAUGAUGUAACAGUACCAUAUUGGUUCAUAGUGCCGUACACAUGGAUGAUAACUGUACUGGCAGAUGUACUGUACACAUGAAUAGAUACGUAUUCAUGACUUGAUGAAUAGUACUAUUCACAUGAAUAGUGACGUAUGCAUAAAUAUUAACCAUUUUGGGUAAACCGUCACUAUAUACAAAAGGG